rnacentral:rRNA from 1 species
GAUGAACGCUGGCGGCGUGCCUAAUACAUGCAAGUCGAGCGAAUGGAUUAAGAGCUUGCUCUUAUGAAGUUAGCGGCGGACGGGUGAGUAACACGUGGGUAACCUGCCCAUAAGACUGGGAUAACUCCGGGAAACCGGGGCUAGUACCGGAUAACAUUUUGAACCGCAUGGUUCGAAAUUGAAAGGCGGCUUCGGCUGUCACUUAUGGAUGGACCCGCGUCGCAUUAGCUAGUUGGUGAGGUAACGGCUCACCAAGGCAACGAUGCGUAGCCGACCUGAGAGGGUGAUCGGCCACACGGGGACUGAGACACGGCCCAGACUCCUACGGGAGGCAGCAGUAGGGAAUCUUCCGCAAUGGACGAAAGUCUGACGGAGCAACGCCGCGUGAGUGAUGAAGGCUUUCGGGUCGUAAAACUCUGUUGUUAGGGAAGAACAAGUGCUAGUUGAAUAAGCUGGCACCUUGACGGUACUUAACCAGAAAGCCACGGCUAACUACGUGCCAGCCGCCGCGGUAA